UUUUGGCGCCUGUAUUUAUAAGCGUGACGUCACCACGGGAAAUAUUUUGGUUGCUCAUUUGACUUGUGGGAGAGAGAGGCUGUCACUGCUGGGUGUAGUAGUACUCCAUCUACCUCUGGAGGCUCGAGCCUCCGUCCACGAGAUAAACGUUCUUCCUGACUACUCGCCUCACUCUAACCUUGCAGGAACUUGGUCUGGACGAGUCGACUCUUCUGAGCGAGAUCGAACAGAUUCUUGGCUUCGGUUCGCUUACCAAGAACCGAACGGAGAAACCGGCCAACACUACAACAGCCGCCGCCUCCUCUUCUCGGCCGGAGUCAUUCGAAAAACCGGUUAA